AAGCAGCUCUUAGGCAACAACGGGGAAUUUUAAUAGCAAUGUUAAAUUAGAAGUUGGCUAUUUGCUGGAACAUCCUUAAAGCUUUAAAGACUUGAUUUGCUCCCUACUGCUCUGCUGCGAAAGCAACAGGCAACUUAUUUAGUUAGGGGUUGCUUAAGCUAAAGCAGAGCAACUGUAUUGCAGCAACAAGUGAAAAUUUUAAAGAUUGGACAAUCAGCAGGGAAGUUAAUAAUAUAAAUUAGUGUAAGCAACUGUAAUAUUUUAACCCCUCAACGACUACACGCCAAUAUCCAGAAGCUUUGUAAUUGUAUUCUUACACUGGAUAAAGAUAUAGUCUAAACUUGACUGAAAGGUUAAG
rnacentral:ncRNA from 1 species